rnacentral:rRNA from 1 species
GACGAACGCUGGCGGCGUGCCUAAUACAUGCCAGUAGAACGCUGAAGCUUGGUGCUUGCCCCGAGCGGAUGAGUUGCGAACGGGUGAGUAACGCGUAGGUAACCUGCCUGGUAGCGGGGGAUAACUAUUGGAAACGAUAGCUAAUACCGCAUAAGAGUAGAUGUUGCAUGACAUUUGCUUAAAAGGUGCAAUUGCAUCACUACCAGAUGGACCUGCGUUGUAUUAGCUAGUUGGUGAGGUAACGGCUCACCAAGGCAACGAUACAUAGCCGACCUGAGAGGGUGAUCGGCCACACUGGGACUGAGACACGGCCCAGACUCCUACGGGAGGCAGCAGUAGGGAAUCUUCGGCAAUGGACGGAAGUCUGACCGAGCAACGCCGCGUGAGUGAAGAAGGUUUUCGGAUCGUAAAGCUCGGUUGUAAGAGAAGAACGAGUGUGAGAGUGGAAAGUUCACACUGUGACGGUAUCUUACCAGAAAGGGACGGCUAACUACGUG